GAGUUUGAUCCUGGCUCAGGAUGAACGCUAGCGGCAGGCCUAAUACAUGCAAGUCAAGGGGAUAGCAAUAUCACCGGCGGACGGGUGCGUAACGCGUACACAACGUGCCAAGGGAGGGGGAAAGCGGCUGGAAACGGCCGGUAAUACCCCAUGGUGUUGUUAGAUGGCAUCAUCUGACAACUAAAGUACCAGCGCCCUUGGAUCGGUGUGCGUUCGAUUAGCUAGUUGGCGGGGUAACGGCCCACCAAGGCUCCGAUCGAUAGGGGGUGUGAGAGCAUGGCCCCCCACACGGGUACUGAGACACGGACCCGACUCCUACGGGAGGCAGCAGUAAGGAAUAUUGGACAAUGGGCGGAAGCCUGAUCCAGCCAUGCCGCGUGAAGGAUGAAGGCGCUCAGCGUUGUAAACUUCUUUUGGAUGGGAACAAUAAUCGAGACCUGUCUUGACUUGAGGGUACCAUCAGAAUAAGCACCGGCUAACUCCGUGCCAGCAGCCGCGGUAAUCC
rnacentral:rRNA from 1 species